CAGCAGCCGCGGGAAUACGUAGGGUGCGAGCGUUGUCCGGAAUUAUUGGGCGUAAAGAGCUUGUAGGUGGUUUGUCGCGUCUGCUGUGAAAAUCCGAGGCUCAACCUCGGACUUGCAGUGGGUACGGGCAGACUAGAGUGUGGUAGGGGAGGCUGGAAUUCCUGGUGUAGCGGUGGAAUGCGCAGAUAUCAGGAGGAACACCGAUGGCGAAGGCAGGUCUCUGGGCCAUUACUGACACUGAGAAGCGAAAGCAUGGGGAGCGAACAGGAUUAGAUACCCCAGUAGUCCCUGUCUCUUAUAC
rnacentral:rRNA from 1 species